rnacentral:misc_RNA from 1 species
UAUCGUCCCCUAAAGUCUAUUAUCGGAGUGCCACUCUGCGUCUCUGCAGCCAAAUAGCUAGGCCUCACCCGAACGAUAUUGGCACACAGGGUAAGUGACUAGCGCAGAGCGGAGCCAGCGUCGGUUUUUACCCAGUAUCUCAAGGUACUAAGGGAUUCCGACCAUAGCCCGACUAUGCGUCGACAACCAAAUUUUUUGGAACAGCCUCACCGGGGUCAUCCGGGAGGCAACAAGCAUACUUUAUCAGUCAUGAACAUGGAUUAUUAGGGGAAGAGGUUAACAGUAACAAAAGUUCUUAAUAGUCCUCGUCCAGAAUGUAGAGAGGGGAGA